rnacentral:rRNA from 1 species
GAGUUUGAUCCUGGCUCAGAACGAACGCUGGCGGCGUGCCUAACACAUGCAAGUCGAACGUGAUCCAGAGCUUGCUCUGGUGAAAGUGGCGCACGGGUGAGUAACGCGUGGAUAACCUACCCUGGUAUCCGGGAUAACAUUCCGAAAGGGGUGCUAAUACCGGAUCAGCCCACGGGCUCUUUGGAGCUUGCGGGAAAAGGUGGCCUCUAUUUAUAAGCUACUGUAUCAGGAUGGUCCGCGUACCAUUAGCUAGUUGGCGGUGUAACGGACCACCAAGGCGACUAUGGUUAGCUGGUCUGAGAGGAUGAUCAGCCACACUGGAACUGAGACACGGUCCAGACUCCUACGGGAGGCAGCAGUGGGGAAUUUUGCGCAAUGGGGGAAACCCUGACGCAGCAACGCCGCGUGAGUGAUGAAGGCCUUUGGGUCGUAAAGCUCUGUCAGAGGGGAAGAAAUGAUAUAGUGCUAAUACCACUUUAUCUUGACGGUACCCUCAAAGGAAGCACCGGCUAACUCCGUGCCAGCAGCCGCGGUAAUAC